CUCUCUUACCCCUCACUCUCACCCUCUCCUCCCUCCUCUCUCUUACUCUUUCUCCCUGCCUUUCUACAAUAAAGCUCUAAAACCACAGUCUCUGCUCAUCAAGAUCCGCUGCACUCACUCUCGGCCGGUGUGGGAACCUCUCUUCCCCUUUCCCUCUCUCCUAUAACCCUGGGGCCUGUUUAGAGAAGUAGCCCCGGGGCUCCCAGGUUGGGCUGCCCCUUGUCCACCCCCCCCCCC
rnacentral:lncRNA from 1 species